GACGGAGGAUGCAAGCGUUAUCCGGAAUGAUUGGGCGUAAAGCGUCCGCAGGUGGCAGUUCAAGUCUGCUGUCAAGGACCGGGGCUUAACUUCGGAAAGGCAGUGGAAACUGAACAGCUAGAGUAUGGUAGGGGCAGAGGGAAUUCCUGGUGUAGCGGUGAAAUGCGUAGAGAUCGGAAAGAACACCAACGGCGAAAGCACUCUGCUGGGCCGACACUGACACUGAGAGACGAAAGCUAGGGGAGCGAAUGGG
rnacentral:rRNA from 1 species